UCGCUUUGGCCGAGUGGUUAAGGC
rnacentral:siRNA from 1 species